rnacentral:rRNA from 1 species
GACGAACGCUGGCGGCGUGCCUAAUACAUGCAAGUCGAACGCGGGGGGGACGGGUGAGUAACACGUGGGUAACCUCCCAUCAGAGGGGAUAACACUUGGAAACACGUCAUAAACCGAUACCGAUGGGUGGACCCGCGGUGCAUUAGCUAGUUGGGGAGGUAACGGCUCACCAAGGCCACGAUGCAUAGCCGACCUGGGAGGGUGAUCGGCCACACUGGGACUGGGACACGGCCCAGACUCCUACGGGAGGCAGCAGUAGGGAAUCUUCGGCAAUGGACGAAAGUCUGACCGAGCAACGCCGCGUGAGUGAAGAAGGUUUUCGGAUCGUAAAACUCUGUUGUUAGAGAAGCGGUAUCUAACCAGAAAGCCACGGCUAACUACGUGCCAGCAGCCGCGGUAAUUC